AUCGGACAACUAGUUCUUAUUAACAGCGUAAGGACACAGGAAAGGACGGAAACGAAGACAGGAUGUUCUUGCGCUCUUCGUAGCCGCCGGAGCGGCGUGUCAACGAUAUGUGGUGUGACUCCGGUCCGGCGUGGGAUGGGACAAAGAAACGAGAUAGCAGAAGAGGAUAAAGGGAAGAGGAAUGCUGCAUCGGUGGCGGCUACAUCACGUACAAGGAGGCUGUCUGGGAGACGUUGAGGACGGACUCGUCUGACGGCCAGGACGCAUACCGUCACGCUUGUGGACUG